UAACAGGGUAAGGGUUAAACAUCUGCUUGUUUUCUGAUUUUACCAGAGGCACAGAAGAUAUUGUUUCACCACAUGGAAUGCCUCUUGAUUUGUUAGACAGAGUGAUGAUUGUGAGAACACUGCCAUAUUCACAGGAAGAAAUGACACAGAUCUUAAAAUUACGAGCACAGACAGAAAGUAUUCAGGUAGAUGAUGAUUCGCUAGCACAGCUAGGACAGAUUGGUGUCACCACAACUCUCAGAUAUGCCGUACAGCUUCUCACACCGGCCAACCUGUUGUCAAAAUAAAUGGACGUGAUUCUAUCGGAAAGACGAAAUCGAG